AAGGCUUUAAGUUAAAUAAAACUAAUAGCCUUCAAAGCUAUAAAUAUAAGAAAAGCCUUUUAAGCCUUA
rnacentral:tRNA from 1 species